GAUCUUCCUCUUGAAUCGAACUGCUCUUUUUGAAGUUAUGUUCUCUGAGGAAUGUAUAAUGGACGUCAUUGGAUGCUUGGAAUAUGACCCAACUUUAUCACAACCACGAAAACACAGGGAAUUUUUAACAAAAACAGCUAAGUUUAAAGAAGUAAUUCCCAUAUCAGAUCCUGAGCUGAAACAAAAAAUUCAUCAAACAUACAGAGUUCAGUAUAUACAAGACAUGGUUCUCCCUACCCCUUCAGUCUUUGAAGAAAACAUGUUAUCAACACUUCACUCCUUUAUCUUUUUCAACAAGGUAGAAAUUGUUGGUAUGUUACAGGAAGAUGAAAAAUUUCUGACAGAUUUGUUUGCACAACUAACAGAUGAAGCAACAGAUGAGGAAAAAAGACAAGAAUUGGUUAACUUUUUAAAAGAAUUUUGUGCAUUUUCUCAAACGCUACAACCCCAAAAUAGAGAUGCUUUUUUCAAGACUUUGUCAAAUAUGGGCAUAUUACCAGCUUUAGAAGUCAUCCUUGGCAUGGAUGAUACACAGGUGCGAAGUGCUGCUACUGAUAUAUUCUCAUACUUGGUUGAAUAUAACCCAUCCAUGGUACGAGAGUUUGUCAUGCAGGAGGCACAACAGAAUGAUGAUGAUAUUUUGCUCAUCAACCUCAUUAUAGAACAUAUGAUUUGUGAUACAGAUCCAGAGCUUGGAGGAGCAGUCCAACUUAUGGGCCUGCUUCGAACUUUAGUUGACCCAGAGAACAUGCUAGCCACUGCCAAUAAAACAGAAAAGACUGAAUUUCUGGGUUUCUUCUACAAGCACUGUAUGCAUGUUCUCACUGCUCCCUUACUAGCAAAUACAACAGAAGAUAAGCCUAGUAAAGAUGAUUUUCAGACUGCGCAGUUACUAGCACUUGUAUUGGAAUUGCUAACAUUUUGUGUGGAGCACCAUACCUACCACAUAAAGAACUAUAUUAUCAAUAAGGACAUUCUUCGCAGAGUGCUAGUUCUUAUGGCCUCCAAGCAUGCUUUCUUGGCGUUAU
rnacentral:lncRNA from 1 species